UACGUAGGGGCUAGCGUUAUCCGGAUUUACUGGGCGUAAAGGGUGCGUAGGCGGUCUUUCAAGUCAGGAGUGAAAGGCUACGGCUCAACCGUAGUAAGCUCUUGAAACUGUAAGACUUGAGUGCAGGAGAGGAGAGUGGAACUCCUAGUGUAGCGGUGAAAUGCGUAGAUAUUAGGGGGAACACCAGUUGCGAAGGCGGCUCUCUGGACUGUAACUGACGCUGAGGCACGAAAGCGUGGGGAGCAAACAGGAUUAGAUACCCGCGUAGUCCCUGA
rnacentral:rRNA from 1 species